rnacentral:sRNA from 2 species
CCAGCUCAACCAAUGACAAAUCGAAAUCUCUCUCUUCAAAGCUCUCCUACAAUACUCUAUUCCCUGUCUCACGGAUCCUAGCCUACUUUUGACAUAUGGAAACUUUGCAACAGGCAACCGCGAAGCCAGUACCGGGCGGGAGGAAUUUGAAAGGAAAAUGAAACCAGCCGCCCGGCCCGAUCUUUGCUGAGACUGCCCGUGCGAGAAUCAGCAGAUUCCUCAUCAAAAGCCCACAACAAAUGCAACCAAGGCACUUGUACAUGUAUGGAAUAUUUAUGUCGCAGCAGUACAACAAAUGAUGUACUCUGCAAGUACCGUACAUCGUACAUGACAUCUACUUGGUCAGCCCAUGUUCGUUUACACACAUACAAACUUUUCAUAAAUUUAUUCUCACAACGACCAUAGUUGAAGUACCCAUGAUGCUUGUAAUAUGCGGACAAAUACGUCGUACAUAUGAACCCAGAGUUAAAAGCAAAAUUGUGCCCACAUGUUACCAUGUCUGCAAAUUCUGCUGUGAUACACUUGUUCAGAAUUCGAGGGUGAUGACAGGGAAACAGCAUUUACGGUAGCAUGCCAUAAUCCUACAAACUCUAGCUCUCAUAUUCAUUCUUAUCUUCUACUACUUCAGAUUUGUUCGCGAUAUUUCCUUAAUGUUGCGUGAUCUGUUGCUUUUCUUCUCGGGCA